CCUACGGGCGGCACCAGUGGGGAAUAUUGGACAAUGGGCGAAAGCCUGAUCCAGCAAUGCCGCGUGUGUGAAGAAGGUCUUCGGAUUGUAAAGCACUUUCGACGGGGACGAUGAUGACGGUACCCGUAGAAGAAGCACCGGCUAACUCCGUGCCAGCAGCCGCGGUAAGACGGGGGGGGCAAGUGUUCUUCGGAAUGACUGGGCGUAAAGGGCACGUAGGCGGUGGAUCGGGUUGAAAGUGAAAGUCGCCAAAAACUGGCGGAAGACUCUCGAAACCGAUCCACUUGAGUGAGACAGAGGAGAGUGGAGUUUCGUGUGUAGGGGUGAAAUCCGGAGAUCUACGAAGGAACGCCAAAAGCGAAGGCAGCUCUCUGGGUCCCUACCGACGCUGGAGUGCGAAAGCAUGGGGAGCGAACGGGAUUAGAUACCCGCGUAGUC
rnacentral:rRNA from 1 species